GGGGAUCUUAAGUGCCACAGUGGAACAAACUUUAGCCACAGGAUUGCAGGAAAGACAAAGGUGAGGAAGGAGGAGGGUGAUGUGGAAGGGAGCACUAUCAGCACAGAGGAAGAAUGGGAUGAGAGAGGCAGGACGGGAAGCUGAAGAGAGAUGUCAGUCCGAGACAAAGACGGGGUUUGGCAGAGAUGAGGCAAGAAAAAGAGACACACUGAGACACAAGGAAAUGGAGAAGACGGAGAGGCAGACACAGCGUCAAGGCAGACAAGGGAGACAAGGAGAUUGAGAAGGAGGACACAGCCGGAACGAAGCCGGGGUGUGUGAGCCAGGGCACAGGUCCUUCCCAGAUUCUGAAGCCAUUGGUGCCUCCUGACUUCCAGAACCAUGUGGAAUAAGUUAAAUGCAUUCCUGUUGUUUAUGAAUUGCUUACUGCGUUGGAACCGAUACCUCGCAUGUAUGGCAGAGAGGGGAUUUCUUACAUUGCCUACACCGUAGGAGCUGGGUAUUAGCUCCUUUUCUAAUACCCUGUGAUAAAACACCAUGACUGCAGAAGCUACAGCUGAGUUUAGCUUGGGUGAAGGUCCAGAGAGCUCUAUAAUGACAACAGGUAUCAGGAGUAGGGAGCUGAGAGAUCACCCUUUGGACCACAAACCUAAAACAGAGUGAGUGAACGGGCAGUAGGUUAAGUCUCAAGUUCUCAAAGCCCACCCACAGUGAUGACAUGAUAUCCUCCACCAAGGCCUCUCCCAAACCCUCAAGCAGCAACGACAACUGGGGACCAAGUACUCAACCACAGGAGACUCUGGGGCACUUCUCAUCCAAACCCCUGCAGCAGCCAACAGUGGCUGUGCAGAGUGGAGAAGCCCAGAGCCUGCUCCGUGGAAAGGGGAUGCUUCAGCUGUCCCAGCUGAAGAUUCCCGGAAGUUUGCUGGUCUUCAGGCCGUUCUGAAAGUUGAAGCUGGAUGUGGGCCAAGUACAGUGGCCGCAGAGAGACCCACUCACCAGUGAAGGACCAUGGCCUUUCCUCAGGCCUCUUUACGUUGAACUGCACCACCCAUGAGGAAUGAAUCUGUCUCGUUUAAUCCUUUCUGGAAAUGUCCCCGUAGACCACCUAGGGAGGUCUGCCUCAUAGUUGAUUCUGGAUCCUGUCAAAGUGACAAUAAGAUUAAUUAUCACAACUGGUGUGGGGUACAGCUGGGGUACAGUGUCAAAACCAGAAGAAACACGUUAGUACAGACUUCAGAAGUCAUGUCAAUUUCAUUUCUCUCACCCCCUCUUCCCCUCCCCACCUCUCCUCAUUCCCUCUUGCUCUAUCUCCUCCUCUAGUUAGUUUUAGGCAUUUUUGCCACCCCUGAAGAUUUAUUUAACUCCGGUUUCAAUUAAGAUACCAAACUGCUCCAUUACUGAGAAAGAACUCUAUCCGGCUGCCUCCUUCACUCACCUCCCUGUCUAUCUCCCCAAAACCAGUAGGCUCCACCCAGCCCUGCAGUUCUCUCACUGGGAACACGCUGUCUGAAUGACGUCCUAUGAGCAGUGGCUGAUUAAUGGGCGCAUGCGUAGUGCUGUCCUUAACGCCCAAGAGUAGCAACCGUGUUUAACCUGCUGUCCUUUCAUACUGCUUCUCAUCUGCUGUAUGAGUAACGGCGCUGUACCAGUAACGCUGCGAUGAACUCUAGUCAUAAGGCUUUCCUGGGAACAUAAGUUUUCAUUUCUCUGGGAUAAAUGCCCAAAAUGUGGUUAUAGGACCAGACGAUAAGUGAACGUUUAGUCUAUAAGCUGUCAGGUUCUUUCUGUUUAUAUUAGCAGAACACAACAGACCCAGUUCCUCAGUACCCUCCUCAGCUGAUGCUAUCACUACUUUUUCAUGGAUAUGGUAUAUGUGUAUAGUGUACAUGUGUAGUGCAUGUACAGUGCAUGUACAGUGCAUGUGUGUAGUGUAUGUGUGUGGUGUAUGUGUGUGGUGUAUGUGUGUAGUGUACAUGUGUGGUGUAUGUGUGUGGUGUAUGUACAGUGCAUGUGUGGUGUAUGUGUGUAGUGUCCAUGUGUGGUAUAUGUGUAUGCAUGUAGUGUAUGUACAGUGCAUGUGUGGUGUAUGUGUGUGGUGUAUGUGUGUAGUGUACAUGUGUGGUGUAUGUACAGUGCAUGUGUGGUAUAUGUGUGUAGUGUACAUGUGUGGUGUAUGUGUGCGGUGUAUGCAUGUAGUGUAUGUACAGUGCAUGUGUGGUGUACAUGUGUAGUGUAUGUACAUGGUAUAUGUCUAUAUUUGAGUAUGCGUGUGUGUGUGUGUGUGUGUGUGUGUGUGUGUGUGUGUUCAUACACAGAGGCCAGAGAGGAUGGACGUCAGGUGUCCUGCUGUUACUCUCUGCCUUGAUCCUUUGAGAUGGGUUUUCUCCCUGAGAGCCUAUGGGUCCCACUGAUCCUACCUCUGUGCCCUACAGUGCUGGGACCUCAGGCCCAUGUCCUACUUUUUACGUGGGCACUGGGGAUCCAAACUCAGUUCCUCAUGCUCAUAACUAAGCACUCUUACCGGGUGAGCCAUUUGCUCAGCCCACUACUUUAAUUUUUAGACUAUCUAAUUGAUGUGCUUUGGAAUCUCAUUAUGGUUUAAUUUGUAUUUUACAAGCGUGUGUGUGUGUGUGUGUGUGUGUGUGUGUGUGUGUGUGUGUGUGUGUCUGUUUUCAGUGAAUGCUUCUCACUUCUCUUUGGUUUCUGGAUGAGGUUUCUAUCUUCUACAUGGCCCUAGCCAUGAGUGAGGAGCAGGACUUCUCUACUCCCUGCUUCCUCCCCAUUCUUUGCUUCCGAGCUCCUCCGGACACUGGCAGGGACUUGGUAGGUGGAGUCAAGUCUUCUGGCUCCCCAGGCCAAACUUGAUUUCCUUUUCUUUAAAUUUCCAGUCUUUAGCUCCCCAGAAAAUCUAACCCCGUCUCGGAAUCUCAGCGUCUGCUUUCUGGAGCACUCCGUGGCACUUGAUGGUCCGUACUCAGUACAUCUGACUCAUCUGUUCUCUCAGGCUGGAUCUGUACCUCCAACGCCCAUGACACACACUGUCAUGAGCAGCUUCUCGUCUCCCGAGAGUCCUGGUGGGGAUUUUCUUCAAUCAUGUAAACCUCAGAUUGUGAGUUCUGAGUUUUAUGGGCUGUAGACAUGCUCAAGUUCAUAACAUAUAUAAUUAUGGGAUCGGAUUGUGUUUCAGAAGAUCUGCACCAGUCUGUGUUGGCACCCAGACGUCAAACUCACUUCUGUCUGUCUCCAAAUACCUUGCUUAUAUUUGACCGUAUCUGUCUGACUUUGAGUCUUCCUCAAUGUACUGGUAUCACUGUGGUUUUCCCUAUAGCUCGUGUAAGCACUUCACCAUUUAUAUAGUGUGCUGCUGGCUUUUUCUUACUGAUUUUCAGACAUUCUUCAUAUAGUUUAACUCCUAAUCCUCUUUUGACUCGAGGAACAAGAAGCAUCUCUUUUCUGUCCAUCAAUUUUAUGAUCUUGUUUUGUUGAAUAGAAGUUUGUAGUCUUUAAAAUGUUUUUAAUUUAUUUUUUCAUGUAUAUAGGUGUUUUGCUUGCAUGUUUGUGUGUGUGUGUGCAGUGUCUUGGAGAGGGAGUUGGACCUGCAGGAACUAGAGAUAAGGAUCGUUGUGAGACACUGUCUUAGUUAGGGUUUUACUGUUGUAAAGAGACACCGUGACCAAGGCAACUCUUAUAAACAACUUCUAAACGGGGUUGGCUUACAGUUCAGAGGUGCUGUCCAUCAUCAUCAUGGCAAGAUACAUGGCACCCCGCAGGCAGACAUGGAGCUGAGCGUUCUACAUCUUGAUCAGCAGGCAGUGUAGACCGCGCCAUGCUAAGCAUAGCUUGAACACAGCAGACCUCAAAGCCCACCUCCACAGUGACACACCUCCUCCAGCAAGGCCACACCUCCUCCAACAAAGCACACAUCUCAUAAUAGUGCCACUCCCUACAGACAAGCCUUCAAACACAAGCAUUCAAACAAUAGGGCCAAACCUAUUCAAACCACCAAAGCUACCAGUGAGCACUGGGAGCCAAAUCCCAGCCCUUCCUUCAGAACUGCAGUUCCACAGCCUGACCCCUUCGUUUACUUUGGGACUUAGGCCUUUUUAGGUCUUGUUUAAGAAAACUUCCAUUGUUAGACAGGGAAAUGUUUUCCUCCAUCUUGACUGACCUUUCACACAAGGCCCUCACUCAGCUGGGGCCCAUUGUUCUGUUCUUUGCCAGACUGCGGGAGCUUUUCUCAUUAUAAGCUAUCAUGGUGUCUGGUUUUUCCUGGCCGUUCUCUUACACUCAUGGUUUGAAGUCUGAUGCCUCUCCUUGCUUCCAUCGUCCUGCUGGCCUUUGUUUGGCUUUUGAAGAAUUCUGCAGCGUUAUUGUAUAUUUAGCAUCUUAUCUUAUAGGAUGCACUCCAUUUCGCUAUUUCUUCUCAUCCUUCUUAGAGUGAGCUCACGAGAGCCAUUGACCACCAUGGCCAAGGCUCAGAUCAGGGCCUUUCCGUGAGAAUCAGAUGGUCCGUCCCAUCGAAGGCUCCCAUCCCAUUGAAUCCCUUCGUGAUCAUUGGCUAUUUCAGAGCAUGCUCUGUGUGUCCUCAAACUUUAGAGUCUGAGACUUCUUUUACAAUCAUUGUCUGUCCACUUUACUGGAACACAUACUGAGUGUGUGUGUGUGUGUGUGUGUGUGUGUGUGUGUGUGUGUGUGCGCGCAUUGUUAAUCUGCUAAGGGCGGAGGCUCAUAGGUUAGUUUGCUUGCAUUAAGUGCCAUUCAGAGACUCUGUAUCUCAAUCACACUGUGGGUUUCUUUCUGCUCUUAUCCUGGAGAAUACGUUGUUAAUCACAUGUGUCCCGCAUCUUGGUCUCUCGCUUCUUCUGUAGAAAUACAUCUUGCCUAUCUCAAGCAAUAAGAAAAGAGAGCAGAGGACGUAAGGAAACUCCUGGACCACCAUCCACUUGACAGGCCAUGGCUAUGCUGUUCUGUGUUUUAUAAACUCUUCCCUCCUUAAACUGAAGUAAAUGACAAAUAUUUUAGCAGUAAAUACACUAGACUUUAUCUGUGAAAGACAAAUAAUUCUUUUAAGAACAUAACCAGAAUGCCGUCGUGCCUCAGAAAUGAGGUUCCUGAACAGCAGUGAGUGUCGAUGAGUGGGGCUUCGCAGCUGUCUCACAAGUAGGGUUCUCUUCACUUAAGUUAGUUUGGAUGAGGUGUGUGCACUGCAGUCAGGCGAUGUGCCUCUCACAUCUGCUUCCCUUUGGUAUUCCUUCUAUUAAUUCUAGUUUCCCAUGUUAGGACUGCUAUCUUGUGACAAUUAAGCCCUCUCAGGAUUUUAAAGGUAAUAUCUGAAUAAAUGAUUAUAAAGUAUUGAAACUCA